GAAUCCAACAAUUUUCAUUAUAUGGAUUCAUUUUCUAUUUUAAACAGUAAAAUUAUCUUAUUCGAUGUGAAAAAAACUUAAAUUCCACUUCGGUGAUGAUAAAAGUACGUAUAUAUUUAUAAUAAAGCGUAAUAAAGAGAAUAAAUUGACGAAAUUGACAAAUUCUGAGAAACUCAUCGGAAUUGUCAUUUGUCAGACGAACAUAACCUCUUUCGCAACGACCACACUGUAAAAAAGACCAAUGUUGAAUUACAAUCGGGUCGUUAAUUUUAAAUUUUCCAGUUUGUAAUUUUACUACGGUACACGUAAUAAUUUAACACCCAUAUAGUAUUUUCACAAUUAAAAAGUAAAAUUAUUACGCUUAUCGUUGUAAAUGUGUCACGCGUUAGUAAAUGUACAUCCCGAAUGUUUAAUCAUUUCGUGAUACAUUGGAAACUUUUCGCUUCACGUAUAACGUUGUAUGUUAGCAACCCAACCGUAAAAAUAUUUUCGUGUGUUAAGUAACUUACAGCUGAUAGUUUUACCGACAGUAUGUAGAAUUAUGUAGCUGUCUGUAAGUAUACAUUCGAAUAUGAUAUUUUUUGCCCGAAUGUUUUUCUACACUGCGUGACGAUGAAGUGGCAUAUAAGAAACUAUGCGCAUAGGCAAACGUUAAUAUUUUAAUUUUAAUUUAUUAAAAUUUCGACAAUUUUAAGAAUUUAAAGAUUAAAGGAAAUUUGUAAAGAAUAUCUUCAUGGACUCUAUUGCUUAAGCAGCUCGUAUUUUUUUAAAAUUAAAGUGGAAAAAGUAUUUGUUUUUCCUGUUCUGUUGGAGAAUUCGUUAACUUUGUACAAAUGACAAAAAAGCUACAAAUGUGAUUUGUAUAUUAUAAAUAUUUAAUAUAUUUAUUUAUUUCUUA